UGAGAGACUGUAAGAAUAGGAUAUGGAAAUGAAAAUAAUUUAUAAUUGCAUUAUUUCAAUUAUAUGCAAACUUAAUAUGGAUAACGAGACACAUAAAACAUUUGAUCUGCCCUUUGAUCAGGAGAAAUGAGGGACGCUGAAACCCCAGACUUCGUCCUCUCCCAAUUUCCUUCAGUUGCCUUCUCUGCUUUAUGCUCCCCUAUUUCCAUGAUAACAGUGACCUACCCUCUCUCACCCCUGUGCCCCUCUUAGACACCUACUCCUCCCUCCUUACUCUGGAUUCUGCUAACAGUCCAGGACCAGGAGGACUCUGGGCCAGGGAUCUGCUCCAGUGAUCAGAGACCUGGGACCUGGGGAGUGUGAGGUUGGGAGCAUUUCCUCUCCCAUCUGCAGGGGCACAGUGGCCUUGAGAAGCUAAUGAGUGGGUGAGGAAGGGCAGCUGUCAAGUGACUUGCCCCUUCUGGCUUGGGGGGCAGUGGAGGCUGGAUGAGCUGACAUCCCAGCUUCCUUCCAGCUGGGACAUUUUGUUUUCACUGUUCCUUUUCAACACUCCCCAAAUGGCAACUCUGUGUCUUGGGGGGUGGUGAUGUCACAGGAGACUAAAGCAAGGUCCUUCCCCCUUUCAGGUGAUCUCUUCCAAAUGGGAGCCCCAGAACACUGACAGACAUUUUUAGAGAUAGUUCAAGUUCAAUGACUAUUCAUCGAAUGCCUACUGCGUUCCAGCCGCCGUGGGGGGCACCGUCUGGUGGGUAGAGUACUGGCCCUGGAGCCCGAGCGCUUGGGCUGCGGGUACACACGCAGACCUUGCCACUUUUGAUGUCUUUGUGAGGAAACUGAAGUUCACAAGAGUCACAGAGUUAGCAAUUCCCAGACCUGAAACUGGAAACCAGAUCCUGUGUCCCUUCUACUUACUCCCCAACAGCUCCUGCCAUUUGGAGAGUCAAGAAAUCGGGAAAUUUGCAUAAGCAACUUUAAAACUGGGGCACUAUCCUGGAGCUCAGCGGGACCCCGGGAGAGGGAGAAAGAGGAUUUAGAAUCUCUGGAUAACAAUCCCUGAGAGGGGAGAAGGGUAUGGAGAACAGAGGAAAGGAAAAGAAACAAGGAGCCUGAGACCACUCAGAAGGUGGAGUGUUGAGUGAGUGAGGCUCCAGCAUCUCUCACAUCUCCUGCUUCUUCGAUGUCACCAAGGUGGACCAGAGCCACCACCUUCCAGAAAGGAGAGAUGAGCUUCUGAGCCCUCCGUUCCCUAUGCACAGUCUGACCUGGGAGGCUGGCGGUAAGAGCCUGUCCAGGAGGCUCCAGCAGGAGGCGCCCUCCCCCCCCCGCCCCCACACACCAAAUUGGGAAGCCUGGGCCUGGGCUGGCCAUCCCAGGGUCACUGGACUAGGAUGGGGGAUGGGCCUGUGACGGGAGGUGCCCUGGGUGUCCUCUUCCGGCCCCAUGGAGUCCUCUCCCAUCCCCCAGUCAUCAGGGAACUCUUCCACUCUGGGGAGGGUCCCUCAAACACCAGGUCCCUCUACUGCCAGUGGGGUCCCAGAGGUGGGGCUGCGGGACGUGGCCUCAGAAUCUGUGGCCCUCUUCUUCAUGCUCCUGCUGGACUUGAUCGCCGUGGCUGGCAACGCGGCUGUGAUGGCUGUUAUCGCCAAGACACCUGCCCUCCGAAAAUUCGUCUUCGUCUUCCACCUGUGCCUGGUGGACCUGUUGGCCGCCCUGACCCUCAUGCCCCUGGCCAUGCUCUCCAGCUCUGCCCUCUUUGACCAUGACCUCUUUGGGGAGGUCGCCUGCCGCCUCUACUUGUUCCUGAGCAUAUGCUUCGUAAGCCUGGCCAUUCUCUCGGUGUCGGCCAUCAACGUGGAGCGCUACUAUUACGUUGUCCACCCCAUGCGCUACGAGGUGCGCAUGACGCUGGGGCUGGUGGCCUCUGUGCUGGUGGGUGUGUGGGUGAAAGCCUUGGCCAUGGCUUCUGUGCCAGUGUUGGGAAGGGUCUCCCAGGAGGAGGGAGCGCCCAGCACCCCCCCAGGCUGCUCACUCCAAUGGAGCCACAGUGCCUACUGCCAGCUUUUCGUGGUGGUCUUUGCUGCCCUUUACUUUUUGUUGCCUCUGCUCCUUAUCCUUGUGGUUUACUGCAGCAUGUUCCGAGUAGCUCGAGUGGCUGCCAUGCAGCACGGACCGCUGCCCACGUGGAUGGAGACGCCCCGGCAACGCUCCGAGUCUCUCAGCAGCCGCUCCACCAUGGUCACCAGCUCGGGGGCUCCCCAGACCACUCCGCACCGGACGUUUGGGGGAGGGAAGGCUGCGGUGGUCCUCCUAGCUGUGGGGGGACAGUUCCUGCUCUGUUGGUUGCCCUACUUUUCUUUCCACCUCUACGUGGCCCUGAGUGCUCAGCCCAUUUCGACUGGGCAGGUGGAGAACGUGGUGACCUGGAUCGGCUACUUCUGCUUCACUUCCAACCCUUUCUUCUAUGGAUGUCUCAACCGGCAGAUCCGGGGCGAGCUCAGCAAGCAGUUUGUCUGCUUCUUCAAGCCGGCUCCGGAGGAGGAGCUGAGGCUACCUAGCCGGGAGGGCUCCAUUGAGGAGAACUUCCUGCAGUUCCUUCAGGGUACUGGCUGUCCCUCCGAGUCCUGGGUUUCCCGACCCGUACCCAGCCCCAAGCAGGAGCCACCUGCCGUUGACUUUCGAAUUCCAGGCCAGAUAGCUGAGGAGACCUCGGAGUUCCUGGAGCAACAACUCACCAGCGACAUCAUCAUGUCGGACAGCUACCUCCGGCCCGCCCCCUCACCUCGACUGGAAUCCUGAUGGGCUUCUGGACACUUGGAAGGAGAUGGGGCUGGGGCCAUUGACGACUGAAGGAACAUCUUGUGGGAUCACCUUUUCCCAGCUAGCAGGGGCUGGGGCUGGGGUCUCUGCACACAGCUGUUGCUUAGCUUUUUCUGGGUCAGGAACAAUGCCAACAGGAUGAACGUGUGGCAAAAGCCUUGGACAUGGCUCUGAUCCUUGACUACUGGGGGAGGGAACCUGGUGAGAUGGUAAUGAGAAUAAACGGUCACCAAGGAUUGGCCUCCCUGAUCUCUCUCCUCAUGGCAGUGACCCACCUCCAGCCCCCUGGACAAUCGGGUACAAGAGACUAAGGUUGGGAAUGGGAAGGGUGGGGUUUCCAUGGUCCAUUAAAUGCCUCCCUUCUCCCAUUCAUCGCUCUCAAAAUUAGCUUCAGUGACAAAAGACUUAAAUCUCUCUCCUACCCGAAGCCCUGGGUUGGAGAGAGGGCACAAGAGUUGGGUUCAGCUGUUUACUGAUUGAGACUAUAGGAACUUGUUGGUUGGUAUUGGUGGUGGUAUUUUCAAGCAGGGGGAAAUUGGACAGGACACUCAUCUGGGACUACCUGUCCAUCCACUUCCCUCUGUUGAAUCAAAUAACACUAAAGGAUUGAGGCAGGACCAGAGGGUGGUUUGAUCUGUAUUUGAACAAAUUCCUGACUCAUUGAACAUUAAAGGGUAAGAUGGGCUGGUGGGAGUGGGCCCUUUGAAUGGCCAAUAAAUAAUUUUUAUUAUAAAAAGUUAUACUGAUAUCAACAUUUCCUAUUUUAGUCCAAUUCAGUACAUAAUAGUUGAAUACCCAGUAUUCUCUGGGACCCACACAGAGUCACUGCCUUUGAGGAGUUCAUAGUCUAAUUUGAUCAGGCACCUUGUAUUUUUACAGAGCAUUUAUAUCUGGUAAAACACUAAAGAAUGUUGGAGAAAUAUAUUAAAGAACACAUUGCAGUUCAGUCCACUGCAGCAAGAUACUUACAUGGAAACUUCCUGUGGGCUGUGGAAAGUGUGAGGGUUGUAAAUGAAACCCUAGUUGAGGAAAAUAAUUUACUUACUGAGACUGAGCAAAUCUCCCUUUAGAUCUAGGAAAAUUUACAGGUUUCUGUCUUCCUACCACCAGACUUACUCUAGUCUAAGACCCAUUACACUGAGGAAAUCCCUUAGAUAGUAUAUAUACCAAGGAGAAUCUUUUGUGACUGAAAAACACGUUCUCCUCGCUUUCCUCCCUUUCAAGAUAAACCUGUUAAGGGAGGAACCUCAUUCCUAGAUAACAGGAAAAAACCUCUUCAAACAUCAUUGAUCAGCUAGUAGGCCCUAAGCAUUGCCAGCAGGUGGCAGUGUGAGACCAAUGGAAACAGGAAAGGUGCGCGUUGGGGAGGGGGGCUGUGGGGAGAGGGAACGGGGAAAGGGGAGGACAUUAAACAUUGCCUGGCAGCCAUUUUGUUAAUUUAUUUUUCCUUUUCCUUUGACUUUGCCCUCCAACCCUUCCUUCAAAUAUAUCAAAAAAGAAUUUUAAGUGCAAGGAUAUCUCUAAUUCAGGCUGAAAUCUCCUGACACUGUGAUCUCACUGGCAUUUAUUACAGAAUUUGACACAUGCUGGUUCAUUUGCCAUUUAUUUUUCCCUGCUUGAGUGGAUCAUGAAGGAAACAAAUAUUUCUCUUCUAUUAUGCUGAGAAUUCUCCCAACAAUUUCUGCCAUGACCACCUUCCAGUUGUUUUCUAGUCACCAGGAUCGCUUGGUAAAGUUGGCUAUGUAAUCCUUGACUGUGCAAGCUGUUCCUGGACCAAAUUUGACUUCUCUAGUCAGCUCAAGAAUCAACAGGUUGAGACAACUUUCCUGUCAGUUACUUUUCCUGCACCCCAGUGGUGUUGGGGUAACCCUCAAGCCUAGAUGAAAACCUUGUGUCAUCAGGUCUCCCCAAGUAACAUCUUAUAGUGGCAUGGUAGAAAAGGGGUGAGUUUGGAGGCAGACAUCUACUUACUCACUGUGUGACCUUGGGAAAGAUGCUUAAUUUCUCUGAGCCUAUUUCUUCAUCUGUAAAAUGGAGGUAACAUUACCUACCUCACAGGGUUGUUGUGAGGAUUAAAAGAGAUGACCAUGUGGAAGCACCUAGCCAUACCUGGCAAAUAGGUACUCAAUAAAUAUUGGUUUUUCUUCCCUUU